GGGGUGGUUCAUCCAGGGGCCCAGAGUAAAUGGUGUGAAAUCGCAGCAGCUGUUGGCAAAAGGGACGGCUCCUCCCCGUGCUGGGGCACUACAAGGCAUGGACCCAAGUGGUCAAAGGGAGCUGCCAGGCACCCCAGGAGUGGUUUUGCCACGCGAUGCCUUUGCAGAAAUCAAGCAUACCUGAGGAAGAGCAAGGAUGUGAGGCAGGCAAGCUGCUCCGCACCCAAAUUCCCCGGAACGCAAAAGACUCCACGAGAACAAGCACAUUAAAGGCCACGAGACAGAGAGAAGAGGAUGGUGAGAAACUGAGAGGUGCCAGAGCCAAGCCUGGGGAGAAGUCACGUCUUUUGCUGUGUUUUCUCUGCUGUCACUAGGCAAAAAAAAAAAAAACCUCUCUGGUCUUUUGCUCAGCUAUGUAUCAGCAGGCCUAAUCAGAAGUGUCCCGUUGUUGGCAAACAUUGCCUCCCCUCUGUGUGCUCACCGUUCCCAGCAGCAGGGUGCUGCUCCAGGAAGGAGAAGCUCUCUUCCCAGCGAGCUCUUGUUAGAAAUCUCCGUUGGAGAGCCUCAUCCCUCAGGCUCACAUCCUGUACAUGUCCCGGUGAGAAAGCUGCUGCUCCCCAUGGGAUCUGCUCAUCCUUGCAACAAGAAGGGGAAAAACGCCGGAGCUGCCCAUUCUCCUCUGUCCCUCUGGGACCUGCAUGUUUCAUCCGAGCAACCCAGUGGUGCAGCACCUCUAAUUGGAUGCUCUUUGGUGAGUUAUGUCAUGCCCAGACCACCGAAGGGCUCCAUGAGGAUUUAUAGAAGAUGCCCCGUGUCUUGGCGCCUCUGGUGCUCCUUCUGCUGUGGCUGAUGAGGAUCGCUGCCAGCCCCCACUCCCUGAGGAUCGGAUGGCUUCUGGUGGCAUGGCUGGGAGAUGGAUGGAGCUAUUGCAAACACUGCGAUGGGAGCUGAGCAGCGUGCAGGCAGGGGAAGAGGGCUGUGAAUCUCCUGGAAGCGUGUUUCAGCCAAGAUCCUACAUAGGCAACAGAUGCUGUGCUGGUUUAACUGUUGAUUUUUAUAAAUCCAUUUCACCCUUGCUUGGAUCCGUUGGUAAAUCGCUGUUCUUUACGGCCGCAGCGGUCGCACACGGCUAGCCCCACUUACUGCUAGGGGCUGCGCACAUCCAGGCAGGGAGGGAGACAGAAGACCUUAACACCGAGCUGUGAGCACCAAAAUAAACCAGCCCCUUAAAAUCGGGCGGCGUAGAUC
ensembl:lncRNA